rnacentral:snRNA from 13 species
GUAGUCACGUGACAGUACAUAUACUAAAAUUGGAACAAUACAGAGAAGAUCAGUAUGGCCCUCUGAGCAAGAAUGAGAUAUCAUGAUUAUUUUU